rnacentral:rRNA from 1 species
UGAGUUCACAUGUCCGCAUGAUUAAAGGUAUUUUCCGGUAGACGAUGGGGAUGCGUUCCAUUAGAUAGUAGGCGGGGUAACGGCCCACCUAGUCAACGAUGGAUAGGGGUUCUGAGAGGAAGGUCCCCCACAUUGGAACUGAGACACGGUCCAAACUCCUACGGGAGGCAGCAGUGAGGAAUAUUGGUCAAUGGGCGAUGGCCUGAACCAGCCAAGUAGCGUGAAGGAUGACUGCCCUAUGGGUUGUAAACUUCUUUUAUAAAGGAAUAAAGUCGGGUAUGCAUACCCGUUUGCAUGUACUUUAUGAAUAAGGAUCGGCUAACUCCGUGCCAGCAGCCGCGGUAAUACGGAGGAUCCGAGCGUUAUCCGGAUUUAUUGGGUUUAAAGGGAGCGUAGAUGGAUGUUUAAGUCAGUUGUGAAAGUUUGCGGCUCAACCGUAAAAUUGCAGUUGAUACUGGAUGUCUUGAGUGCAGUUGAGGCAGGCGGAAUUCGUGGUGUAGCGGUGAAAUGCUUAGAUAUCACGAAGAACUCCGAUUGCGAAGGCAGCCUGCUAAGCUGCAACUGACAUUGAGGCUCGAAAGUGUGGGUAUCAAACAGGAUUAGAUACCCUGGUAGUCCACACGGUAAACGAUGAAUACUCGCUGUUUGCGAUAUACGGCAAGCGGCCAAGCGAAAGCGUUAAGUAUUCCACCUGGGGAGUACGCCGGCAACGGUGAAACUCAAAGGAAUUGACGGGGGCCCGCACAAGCGGAGGAACAUGUGGUUUAAUUCGAUGAUACGCGAGGAACCUUACCCGGGCUUAAAUUGCACUCGAAUGAUCCGGAAACGGUUCAGCUAGCAAUAGCGAGUGUGAAGGUGCUGCAUGGUUGUCGUCAGCUCGUGCCGUGAGGUGUCGGCUUAAGUGCCAUAACGAGCGCAACCCUUGUUGUCAGUUACUAACAGGUGAUGCUGAGGACUCUGACAAGACUGCCAUCGUAAGAUGUGAGGAAGGUGGGGAUGACGUCAAAUCAGCACGGCCCUUACGUCCGGGGCUACACACGUGUUACAAUGGGGGGUACAGAGGGCCGCUACCACGCGAGUGGAUGCCAAUCCCUAAAACCCCUCUCAGUUCGGACUGGAGUCUGCAACCCGACUCCACGAAGCUGGAUUCGCUAGUAAUCGCGCAUCAGCCACGGCGCGGUGAAUACGUUCCCGGGCCUUGCAC